rnacentral:lncRNA from 1 species
GUGAUGAAAUUGAAAGUCAGGAGCUCGUCUGAAGAACAAGGGUGAUGAAAUUGCAAGUCAAGAGGCCCUCCCAAAGAAUAGGGAUGAUAAAAUUUAAAGUUGAAAGCUCGCCCAGAGACCAGAGAAAGGAGAUUGCAAGUCGGUAGGACCGUCCGAAGAAUAGGGGAUGAUGAAAUUGAAAGGCAGGAUCCCGUCUGAAGAACAAGGGUGAUAAAAUUACAAGUCAGGAGGCCCGCC